AUGACGAGUGGGCUCGCGUUGCAGGCUUGUUGGCUGGGUUUGUUAUCGCCGCGUGCACAGGUUUCGGCCAAUCCGCUCCACGCGCCUCGCAGCCAAUCCCUGCCCUCGACUCGUCCCACUCCCACACGAGCCGCCAGACAAACCCUAGCCUGUUUCCCCUCAACCCCCAACCUCUCAUGCCUCCUCCGCCCCUUCUCCUCGCAUCACCACGGGAUUCUCGCCAACGCCUGCUAUUCCCCCUCCCUCAUCUCUGUUCGACGCCAAGGACCAGCUCACCCCGCACCUUUUAUCCACCCACGACCUAGGGUUGGGGAGGCCGGGUGUUCUCGCUGGGGUGGAGGAGCAGGUGAGGGCCGGGAGGCCGACGAAGAGGUCGGUGUGGGGCCCAAGGAGCAGCGGGGCAAGAACAGUGGGGGUGGGGCUUUCAUCUCCUCUGUUCUAAUCGCGACUCCUGCGACCUCGUCACCGGUGCUCGCUCGACUGGCAUAUGGGGCGGCGGCCGGGACGUUGGCCCUCCGCACGAACUCGAAGCCGAGUCUAGCUGACGAGCCCCGUGGUUGGUUUCUCCUACAAUCUCCAGAUCCCCUUUUGCUCAUUCUCUUCCUCUCCUCAUACAUUUCUCUGUUGUUUGUGUUCCUUCGAUUUGCAGCGAUUUGUAGCAGCCUGCACACACGACAUGAGCAGCAGCCAGGUCCAUGGGCGUUGCUUGUGGAGCAGCGGUCAAGUCACGGUGUGCCAUCAAUUGAGAAAAUAACUUUCCUUCUUGUGAGGCUAGAAGAUGGCGCAAUACUAGACGAGAAUGCUUUCUGCAAUGAUUUAUCAAUUUGGCAUAGUAUUGGUGCUUACUUGUAUGAGGAUCUGAUUUGCAUUGUGUCUCUUAGAUAUCAAACAAUACAUGUUCUACAAAUCCGAGAUUCAAGCAGCCUUGUUGAGGUACGAAGAAUUGGUGCAUUUUGUCGGAAGAUGACGAGCUAUGUCUUCAUUCACAUGGCCAGGCUGCACAAUGGAGUUCUUUUCUUCCCGGAAGGGAAGGAUGUGGCCGCAAAGGCCAAGACUGGUUCUAGAAAGACCUUUGCCUACCUUCUCCCACUGUUGCAAGAGCUGCUGAAGUUGUGCAAAGAAGGGCGUAUUCAGAAAUCUACACCAAAUGACUUAAUCCUGUAUAGUCUCCUGUUGUUAGAUGAUGAACUAAUGUUAUUUUAUGCCAAGAAGUUAAAUUUGUGUGCACCUUCUCAUGGUCCAGUACUCCAGUAUUUAACCAACUGCUCCUCCUUCGGAUACGUGGCAGGGCUUAAUGGCGGCGCCAACUUGAGAAACUCAUAUUUACAUAGAGAAACCUGGUCAAAGGGGUUUGACCAUGUGAUUUGUCCAAAAUGCCCCUGGAUGCGGCUAAACACCGGCGCCCGCGUGAAGGCACAACGACGACGUACGGGAGGAUGCCUGAGAGGUCUAUGGGCUUCAGGGCGGUCAUGCAAGGCUGCGGGCAUGAAGAAGAACUGGACUGAGUUGGUCGGAGACCGUGCGGUGGUCGUGAGGAUGGGCAAUAGUGAGCUCGAGCGGCGGCGAUGGGCGGCGCUCAUGGGGGGAGGUUCUCGGCGGUGCAAGGAAGCUCGAGGGCGCACUAGGACAUUCGAGAGAAGUGCUCGAUCUAAUCGACCGCAAACCAUGCCUGCGAGCCUAGAGCUGGCCACCGACGUCGGAUGUUGGCCGCCGCCGGAGUUGAGCGAGAGAGAGAGAGACACAGAGAGGGGCAAAACUGGCCAGAAAAUGUCAUGUAGCCAGUCAAACGCCUUUGACCACAUGGAAAUGAAUAAUUCUGAAACGAGGUCACUCCUACUGAUCUUGCUCUUCGAGUUUGGUGGGAGCAAGACAAUAGGCUUUGAUAGUGUCUUCAUGUCGUUCCAGAGGGUUAUCGAUCCCGAUAUUGGGCAGUGGGUUGGUGGGAGCUUGGGUCCUUUGAUCACCCCCUAG
rnacentral:rRNA from 1 species